rnacentral:pre_miRNA from 1 species
AGUACAAUUGCUGGGUUAUGUAGCAGUGGUAUGUUUAAUUUUAAAGGUAAUUUCCAAACUGUUUUCCAGAAUAAUCUCUACCUACUUAUUACCAAAAUCUAU